rnacentral:sRNA from 1 species
UGGACUUUGAGCCAUUAGAACCAUGAGCAACUACAGUGUGUCACUGGUUGGCCCAGCUCCUUGGGGUUUCCGGCUGCAGGGCGGUAAGGAUUUCAACAUGCCUCUGACAAUCUCUAGUCUAAAAGAUGGCGGCAAGGCAGCCCAGGCAAAUGUAAGAAUAGGCGAUGUGGUUCUCAGCAUUGAUGGAAUAAAUGCACAAGGAAUGACUCAUCUUGAAGCCCAGAAUAAGAUUAAGGGUUGUACAGGCUCUUUGAAUAUGACUCUGCAAAGCAGUUACUCAGGAGUUACCCAGCUACUCAGGAGGCUGAGGCAGGAGAAUCGCUUGAACCCAAGAGGCGGAGGUUGCAGUGAGCUGAGAUCGCGCCACUGCACUCCAGCCUGGGUGACAGAACAAGACUCUGUCUCAAGAAAAAAAAAUGCUUAUGUUCUGUAUAAAAUCUUCAAUAAAAUGAUGAUACCAGUACCUCAUAUUUGUAU